AACGAACGCUGGCGGCAGGCCUAACACAUGCAAGUCGAGCGCCCUUUCGGGGGAGCGGCGGACGGGUGAGUAACGCGUGGGAAUAUGCCCUUCUCUACGGAAUAGCCUCGGGAAACUGAGAGUAAUACCGUACACGCCCUGUGGGGGAAAGAUUUAUCGGGGAAGGAUUAGCCCGCGUUGGAUUAGGUAGUUGGUGGGGUAAUGGCCUACCAAGCCGACGAUCCAUAGCUGGUUUGAGAGGAUGAUCAGCCACACUGGGACUGAGACACGGCCCAGACUCCUACGGGAGGCAGCAGUGGGGAAUCUUAGACAAUGGGGGCAACCCUGAUCUAGCCAUGCCGCGUGAGUGAUGAAGGCCUUAGGGUUGUAAAGCUCUUUCAGCUGGGAAGAUAAUGACGGUACCAGCAGAAGAAGCCCCGGCUAACUCCGUG
rnacentral:rRNA from 1 species